rnacentral:lncRNA from 1 species
UUCUUUGUAGUUUCCAAGGGACCAUUAGUAACUAUGUCAUAUAGUUCAUAGUCCUCUCCGAUGAUAUUACCUCUUAUCAUAUUCUUCCACCAAGAAUAGUAUUGUCCAUUGAAGAGUGGAGACCUAGCAGUGGAUUGCCCUUCCCAGUUCCCAGGUGGUGCACUCACAUUGAUCUUUUCCUAAGGUGUUUGCCUCUUCAAGGAUAACUCGCUCUAAUACCAAUUGAUGUUCUAAAUGUCAGUACCAGACAUGAGGGGGGAGGGGGGUGAUUUGUGUGGUACCCAAUUUUUUCUCUAGAAGAACUUGGUUCUUCUAGGUGUUCUU